ensembl:lncRNA
AUGAGCAGUGGAGUCACCACCGCUCAUGAUCUCUGCUCAUCCUGUCCUGUCUGUGACUGGACAUCAGAAGGACGACGCAGGAAACCACACACGCAUCCCACACACACCUCCUGUCGGCCUCUCACCCAGAUGGACAGACUGUCAACACACACACACACACACACACACACACACACACACACACACACACACACACACACACACACACACACACACACACACAGGACAGACAGACAGACAGACACACACACACACACACACACACACACACACACACACACACACAGACAGACAGACAGACACACACACACACACAGGACAGACACACACACACACAUACACACAGGACAGACAGACAGACAGACAGACACACACACACACACACACAAACACACGCACACGCACACACACACAGGACAGACAGACACACACACACACACACAGGACAGACAGACAGACACACACACACACACACACACACACAGGACAGACACACACACACACACACAUACACACAGGACAGACAGACAGACACACACACACACACACACACACAGGACAGACAGACACACACACACACACAUACACACAGGACAGACACACACACACACACACACACACACACACACACACACACAGGACAGAGAGACACACACACACACACACACACACAGGACAGACAGACACACACACACACACAUACACACAGGACAGACACACACACACACACACACACACACAAACACAGGACAGAGACACACACACACACACACACACACACACACACACACACACACACACACACACACACACACACAGUCUGGGGUCACACCUCCGCCUCGUCUCGGGUUCGGCACCGCUUUCUUGCCGUGUCAGCUCCGGGCCGCAGCAGCUGCUGUCCCGCUGACAGCUGACGAAAGUAUUUGGGAAUUAAAAAUCCGGUGCGCAACAACAGCUGCAGCUGUUCGGGAAGAACUUGGAAAGCGGCGCGGAGAAAGAAGCAACGGACGGAGAUGGAGCGACCGUUCUCACUCACCAGUAGCGGAGAGACUCUGCAUCUUGCACGAACUUCUUGUCCGCUGCUUCGCUGCCGAACCCGUCUUUAUCCUCGGAGGAACUCACAGCGGCGCCUCCAGCGCACAAUGGGGUCAGGGCGGACGAGCCGCGCGCUUCCUCUGUUCCUGUUCACCCACGAUCACAGCUCGCGCCGAGGACUCUUCAUGGUUCCGAACGGACGCCGCGGAUUUUGCUCGGUUCGCUUGCGUGUGGGAUCCAAACAGUGUCGCCGUCCAUGUAGUCGUUCCUCCUCCCUCUCCACAAACACAACUCCUCUGCGCUGCUGGGCGAAAAAAAGAAAAAGAAAAAGCGCGCUCCCGACAGUGCGAGGCGCGCGCACUGCGAGCUCAUUCAUUGAGUGCGAACGCAAAGAAUGAAAGAUGUGUAUUGGACGCUGUUUUUUUAACCUUUCACGCACCAGUUCCAGUGGAACGUGCGCGCGCGCGCGCUCUCGCGCGCCUUGGUUUCUCUCCAUCGUUUCCAGAAGCUGCGGUUUAG